ACCAAAGAACAUCUGCAAAAUCAUUAAGUGAGCCACAAGCUGAACCAGAUGUAGUUGAGGAAGACUUGGGGAGUUUCUGUGUCAUUGUUAAGGACAAGCUGAAACAACUUUACAUUGCCUGGAGGAGAGAGAGGCGAAUGAUUCACAGAUUUUCAGCAUAUGCAACACUAUACAUUGUGGACUUGAGAAGUGUUUGCCCAUCUUCUCUGUUAGACGAAGACCCAAAUAAGAAGAUGCCGUGGUUAACGGAUGAUAUGAUGAUGAAAAAGCUGCCAAAGAUUGCACCCGGUCACAGCAUCUUUUCCCGGGGACACUAUUUAAGUCUUCAAGGCCAAGUGG